CUUAGUUAGAUAUUUGAUUCUACAACUUUUAUGAUACUUUAUAAAUAUGUAUAUGUGUGUGUGUGUGUGUGUGUGUGUAUUUAAUAAUUGUAGAUAAGUUCCCUUUGUUGAAUUGAGUCUUUUUUUUUCUUUCAGCAUUUUAGUUUCAUGUCAUUUCUUUCUCUCUAUAAUUUCAUGUCUUUUUUGUUUGUUUGUUAGUGGUUAGAGGUUAGUGUCGAAGUGAGCUGUCAUUUCUUUGCAUUAUAUUUCCUUUUUUUCUAGUUUCAAGUCAAUUCUUUCUUUCUUCUUUCUAAUUUCAUGUCUUUUUCUUCUUUUGGUUAGUGGUUAGAGGUUAGUGGUGAGAUGAGGUUAGUGUAGAGGUGAGCUGUCAUUUCUUUGCAUUAUAUAUUUUUUUUUUCUAGUUUCAUGUCAAUUAUUUCUUCUUUUUAAGUUUCAUGUCUUUUCUUCUUUUGGUUAGUGGUUAGAGGUUAGUGUCAUGGUGAGCUGUCAUUUCUUUGCAUUAUAUUUCCUUUUUUUCUAGUUUCAAGUCAAUUCUUUCUUCUUUCUAAUUUCAUGUCUUUUUCUUCUUUUGGUUAGUGGUUAGAGGUUAGUGGUGAGAUGAGGUUAGUGUCAUGGUGAGCUGUCAUUUCUUUGCAUUACAUUUCUUCUCUUUUUCUAGUUUCAUGUCAUUUCUUUCUUUCUAAUUUCAUGUCUUUUUCUCCGACAGUUCAGUUAGAGGUUAGUAGUUAGAGGAGGUUAGUGUCAUGUCGUCAUUUCUUAGCAUUCUUUUUCUUCUUCUUCCUUUUCCUUCUUUUUUUUUUUCUUCCUUUAAACUCCAUAUCAUUCCUCUAGUACAUAAUUUCCUUGGUUAGUGGUCAGAGGUUAACACUGAGAAGAGGUUAGUGGUCUUGAAUCGUCAUUUUUCCAGCAUUCUUCUUUAUUUAACAUCCUUAAAUUUCAUUCCAUCAUCUCCUUGGCGCCGAGAAGAGGUAUCAGAUUAGUGCCGGGCAAAGGUUAGAACAUUCAGCAUUCUUUUUCUGUAUCUGUUUAGGGUCCAUAUAUCAUGAUGGGCUUGUAUGUGUAUGUGUGUGUGUGUGUGUGUGUGUGUCAUUUCGUUCAGUCAAUAUUACCUCGUUCGUUUCCGAGUGCAAUUUAGGGACCACCUCACUCUUCGUAUGGCCCAACAGGAGUGUCAGUGAUGGCCAUGUCCGAACGCCUAUGUAUGUAUUUUCAAGAGUGUGCUAUGCAAAGACAAAGACCUUUUAA